GUUCUUUAGACAUUAAAAGCUUCUAACAUGAUAUGGAAUCCAAGAUUCCAUAUCAUGUUAGAAGCUUUUUUGUU
rnacentral:sRNA from 1 species